AUUGAACGCUGGCGGCAGGCCUAACACAUGCAAGUCGAGCGAGCGGCGGACGUGUGAGUAAUGUAUGGGAAUCCGCCCGAUAGAGGGGGAUAACCACAGGAAACGGUGGCUAAUAGCGCAUACUAUCGGAUGAACCCAUAUGGGAUUAGCUAGUAGGUGGGGUAAAGGCUCACCUAGGCGACGAUCCCUAGCUGGUCUGAGAGGAUGAUCAGCCACACUGGAACUGAGACACGGUCCAGAAUCCUACGGGAGGCAGCAGUGGGGAAUAUUGCACAAUGGGCGCAAGCCUGAUGCAGCCAUGCCGCGUGUGUGAAGAAGGCCUUAGGGUUGUAAAGUACUUUCAGCGGGGAGGCGUUACCCGCAGAAGAAGCACCGGCUAACUCCGUGCCAGCAGCCGCGGUAAUAC
rnacentral:rRNA from 1 species